UGUAUAUGUGUGUUUUUGUUCAACUUGUGGACAGAGACUUAUAGAUAGGUGCAAAAAAUAAAUCCUCUUUUGCAACCCAGAACUCAUUGUGCAGUAUGAGUUUUGAUACAUAAAAGAAGGAAUAUG
rnacentral:snoRNA from 1 species